GCCGUCGUGGCGCAAUGGUUAGCGCGUCGCUUUCCUAUGGAAAGGACAUCAGGCGAAGGUUGAGGGUUCGACUCCCUCCGUCGGUA